rnacentral:lncRNA from 1 species
AAAAAAAAAGAUGAAAUAACAAGAAUAAGAAGCGAAAAGAACAAAAUAAAUGAUCAAUCUAUGUGGAUAAAGAUCUUACCUUUUAAUCAACCGAUGGAGAGGAGCUGAGGGAGCCCCCCCCAAGGAUGGGAGAUGGGGGAGCUGAGGGAGAGGGAGAGAGAUAGAGAGAGAGGGAGAGAUCGAGCGCCCUUUUGCCCGCAUGAGAGAGAGAGGGAGAGAGAUAGAGAGAGAGAGCGAGAGACCGAUUGCCCUUUUGCUCGCACGAG